AUGCAAGGCCCCGUCGUGCAAAAAGAAAAAAAACUGACGAUCGAGGGCAGUCUCGCUACGAGGACGAGAUUAGGAGAACCCACGCCCCAGCCGCCAUCGCCGCCGCCGAUCCCUUCGCCGUCGCCGAUCUAUUCGCUACGUCGACGGAAACCACGCCCUAGCCGCCAUCGCAGAUCCCUUUGCUGCCGCCGAGGUCCUGGAGGAGCCGCCGCCACCUUCAUUGCGGACCUCCAGGUCGCCGUCGGGACACCGCGGCAGAGGUUCGCCACGGCCGCCGUCGAGUUCCGAGAGGGGCAUGACCCCAGGGAGAUCUUCGUCGGGGUUGCCGCCGCGCCGCCGACGUCGCCUGCCGAAGAGAGGAAAGGUACGGUGCCGUCGAUCCGUCCUGCCUGUGGAUUCACUGGAUGCGUCUUGGUGGAGUGAGCGCUCGUGAGAUUCGAUCUGGUUGCUCUGUCUUUCAAGGUGGAUUCGUUGUCAGUAGGUUGGGACGGAUUGAUCGCUGUUGGAUUUGUUAACUUGCAGGUGGGCUAAACCUCUCGUCCUCUGGCGACGAACAUCGCCUCCCGCUAGGGUAUGCGGGCGACAAUCGUUACUCAGCGCCAGCAGGUCGCUGCCCCGUCCUCCAAUUGACAAUGGUAGCAUGCUUAUGCCUUGGGGCAUGGUGUCGCGGGUAGAGUGUGUGCUGCCAUGGCUGAACGAAGCAGCAGUCGGCUGUGCACACUGUCUGACUACUAUUGAUGUUGGUGUUUCAUGUAGGCUUGCCUUCAAAUAUCACGGCAAGGUAUGUAUGGAUAGUGCAACCUGCAUAUUCACAACUCUGAAGCAAUAGAACUACAAUCAGCUCACAACCCCCAUCGAGUAGUACACCAUCUGUUCCAUUCAGAGGUACUCAUCUUGUUGAUUCAGGUGAGAUCUAUUACCUAUACCUUAGAUCCUCUAAAGUGAAGGAGCUCCGAUGGGAAGGGUAUUUUAAAAUCUGGUGUUGUCUACAUGUUUUGGCUGCUUGUAUCUUCCUAGGCGAUGUCUUACUAGCUGACGAGCAAAUCAUAUGAAAAUAUGAACCACAUAUGAUCUUUGCUAAUAGAAGUACAACACUCAACCUGUGCUAUGUCAAUUCUAUGGCCACUACAUAUUCAGACGGGCAAAUGAACCAAAUAAAUCUUUCAGUGGGCCAGUGAUAAUAUUAUUUGUUGAACUGAUUAGAGAAGUAAACUAUAUACAACAGUAAACAGAAGUUGAAUUGUUUAGAGAGGUAAACUAUAGAACGGUAAUCUGAAGUACACUUGGAUCCCAAAGAUGCUGGUGGAAAUACGUCAACAAGUUACCCGCUACAAUCAUCACCAGAGAUAUAACCACAAAAACUGUAGUUCAAAGCUAUCCGCUACAUUAACUUUGAAUUUCCUAUCCAUUCUCAUCAACAAUGACCUGCCAUAAACCGUACAAAUAACAAUGAGUAUUGUGUUUACCUGCACACAAAAGAAGGGAAUUGUUCCUGAACCUGGUUUCUGAGGCCAGGCACGAGUAUUGUUUAAUUUCAGAAUUUGAGAAGAGGUGUAAACCAUUAAGAGGGACGUACCAUGACGCCAAAAGUUUCAGUCUGCCACCAAGUUUAUUUUGUUCAUCCCACAAAAAACAUGAACUCUCAAUCAAUGGCUGCAUAGCGUCAGAACACAAGAGGAUUUUGAGCCAACCAAAAUAUAUUCAUUUAAAAAAAUCACUGCUGGACCGACUGUUAUUCUUCAGUUGCAUUCCCUCUACUUAUCUCUGACGAAUCUACUAUUCUUCAGUUGCAUCCCCCUGUACUGAUAUUAGCUAAUAUAAGUGACAAUGCUCUGACUCUUGGAAUUUGUAAUGCUCAUCCAAUCCUCCCCGUCUAUACCUAUUUAAUAGCUUCAAGAGCUCUCCCCAAAUCAUCAUUCAAAAGUUCUUCAUCUACUUGUGCUAUGUUACGUAGAUAUUUUUCUAGCUUUCAAAGGAAGCAUGUCCAGGUGUUCCUAACAUGCUCGAGGUUUGUAGGGAAUUUAGAAUAUGUAUAUCGAUCGGGCACCUUCGUUGUGUGAAAUUCCUUACUUAUUAUGUCACUUAUAUCAGCUAACUAUCAAGACCAAUGAACUGCAUCACGUCAAUGUAAUCACUUUUUAGUUUAUGUCAAGAUUAAUAGACUGCAUAUGCACCCCACACCCUUGGUUAGAUCUACAAUCAAAUGUAAUGGUGAGAUUUAAUUUAAAAACAGUUAACUUGUUUGCAUGGCUAUGCAAAAUUAGACAAUGAUUACAUUAUUUAAAUAAACAGUUAAGGGCAUGCCAGACUUUGCAAUCUUCAGAAGAGAUUGUUAGCCUAAAAUAUGCAAGACAAUAUAUCUGCGUACUUCGAGGACUGGUAGUUUGUUGCAAUUACCAGAUACUGCAAGCUGUGGUUCUAAUUCAUUCUUUCGCAUUACUGUUUUGGAAUUCAAUCUGUGGUUGACUGUUACUUGAUGGUUCUCUUGUUUCGAUCUCCUAGGACUGGAAUGUAGAAGCUUUUUGUUUGUUUUCUCUCACCAUAUCGUUGUAACAACUCUCAGUGUCUUAUGAAAAUUCUGAAGUAGUUUGGAGAAAAGAUGUGUGAGAAGUAGGUGUAUAGAUAUGUUCCUUCCAUGUAUUGGAUCGAGGAAUUUCCUAUAUUUCUUCUUUUAUUAAUUUCAGGAGAGGAAGAGAAUUUUAGUGGUACUUCAGAUUUUGGUAAUUGUUCAUGAUUGAGUUCACCAUAAUUGAUAAAAAAAAUUAUGACUGUUA